UUUCUUGCAUCUUUUACCAUGAUUUUGAAUCACGAUAUUCUAGCAUAACCAGUUUAUCAAAGGAUCACAAAUGAGGCUACAAAGUUAAAUGAAUACUAAUUGCUGCUAUGUUAACCAAAAAGAUCUCAAGUACGAAAUGGAAAAUGCAGAAAGCAAAAAUUCAGAUAAGCUAUAAUGUAAAACUUAUACCAACAAUUGGUCACAUAUUAACGCAAUUGUUAUUUGUAUCAUUGUAGUGUUGGAGUUGCUGAUGUUCCAAUUGUUCUGGU
rnacentral:lncRNA from 1 species